GUUUGAUCCUGGCUCAGAACGAACGCUGGCGGCGUGGAUAAGACAUGCAAGUCGAACGGAAUUUACUUAGCUUGCUUUGUAAGUUUAGUGGCGAACGGGUGAGUAACACGUGAGCAACCUGCCCAGAAGCGGGGGAUAGCUCGAGGAAACUCGAAUUAAUACCGCAUAUGAUCCUGUGUAGCAUUGCACAGAGAUUAAAGGUGCCUUCGGGUGCCACUUCUGGAUGGGCUCGCGGCCUAUCAGCUUGUUGGUGAGGUAACGGCUCACCAAGGCGACGACGGGUAGCUGGUCUGAGAGGAUGAUCAGUCACACUGGAACUGAGACACGGUCCAGACACCUACGGGUGGCAGCAGUCGAGAAUCAUUCGCAAUGGGGGAAACCCUGACGGUGCGACGCCGCGUGGAGGAUGACGGUCUUCGGAUUGUAAACUCCUGUCAUCGAAGAGUAAGGCUGUUAUAUAAAUAGUAUGACAGAUUGAUAGUAUUCGAAGAGGAAGGGACGGCUAACUUCGUGCCAGCAGCCGCGGUAAUA
rnacentral:rRNA from 1 species